CUGAGACAGGUGCUGCAUGGCUGUCGUCAGCUCGUGUUGUGAAAUGUUGGGUUAAGUCCCGCAACGAGCGCAACCCUUAUCCUUUGUUGCCAGCGAUUCGGUCGGGAACUCAAAGGAGACUGCCAGUGAUAAACUGGAGGAAGGUGGGGAUGACGUCAAGUCAUCAUGGCCCUUACGAGUAGGGCUACACACGUGCUACAAUGGCAUAUACAAAGAGAAGCGACCUCGCGAGAGCAAGCGGACCUCAUAAAGUAUGUCGUAGUCCGGAUUGGAGUCUGCAACUCGACUCCAUGAAGUCGGAAUCGCUAGUAAUCGUGGAUCAGAAUGCCACGGUGAAUACGUUCCCGGGCCUUGUACACACCGCCCGUCACACCAUGGGAGUGGGUUGCAAAAGAAGUAGGUAGCUUAACCUUCGGGAGGGCGCUUACCACUUUGUGAUUCAUGACUGGGGUGAAGUCGUAACAAGGUAACCGUAGGGGAACCUGCGGUUGGAUCACCUCCUUA
rnacentral:rRNA from 1 species